AGGAGUUUGAUCCUGGCUCAGGAUGAACGCUAGCGGCAGGCUUAACACAUGCAAGUCGAGGGGUAUAGUAGCAAUACUAGAGACCGGCGCACGGGUGCGUAACGCGUAUGCAAUCUACCUUUUGCAGAGGGAUAGCCCAGAGAAAUUUGGAUUAAUACCUCAUAGUAUAAUGAGUUGGCAUCAACUUAUUAUUAAAGUCACAACGGCAAAAGAUGAGCAUGCGUCCCAUUAGCUAGUUGGUAAGGUAACGGCUUACCAAGGCGACGAUGGGUAGGGGUCCUGAGAGGGAGAUCCCCCACACUGGUACUGAGACACGGACCAGACUCCUACGGGAGGCAGCAGUGAGGAAUAUUGGACAAUGGGCGCAAGCCUGAUCCAGCCAUGCCGCGUGCAGGAUGACGGUCCUAUGGAUUGUAAACUGCUUUUGUACAGGAAGAAACAUCUCUACGUGUAGAGACUUGACGGUACUGUAAGAAUAAGGAUCGGCUAACUCCGUGCCAGCAGCCGCGGUAAUACGGAGGAUCCAAGCGUUAUCCGGAAUCAUUGGGUUUAAAGGGUCCGUAGGCGGUCUUAUAAGUCAGUGGUGAAAUCUCCCCGCUCAACGGGGAAACGGCCAUUGAUACUGUAGGACUUGAAUUAUUAGGAAGUAACUAGAAUAUGUAGUGUAGCGGUGAAAUGCUUAGAGAUUACAUGGAAUACCAAUUGCGAAGGCAGGUUACUACUAAUGGAUUGACGCUGAUGGACGAAAGCGUGGGUAGCGAACAGGAUUAGAUACCCUGGUAGUCCACGCCGUAAACGAUGGAUACUAGCUGUUGGGAGCAAUCUCAGUGGCUAAGCGAAAGUGAUAAGUAUCCCACCUGGGGAGUACGUUCGCAAGAAUGAAACUCAAAGGAAUUGACGG
rnacentral:rRNA from 1 species